rnacentral:pre_miRNA from 1 species
AAAAAGUAAAACACUGGAUUUUUUUCCAAUUUUGACUGUUCGUCUUAUAUAAAAUUUUUUUAUAAUUCGUAUUUUUAUUGUUGUUUGAUGAUAAAACAUGAUUAAUAUUUUAUGCAUGACUUGUCUUUUUAAUUUUUUUCAUAAUUUUUUCAAAUAAGACGGACGGUCAAACGUUGUGCACGGAAACCAGGGUUUGUCUUUUU